UCCCACUUCUAUUCGGUUUUCUCCAUAUCUCCUUCCCUCCUUAAAAAUCUCCAACCAAAUACUCUCUAUUAACUCCAUUUAUACAUCUCCUCCCACAAUCUCAACAAACCGUCGUUCCUGCAGCUUUUCUUCCCUUCAUUGAAGAGUGUGGAGGAGAAACCCAGAGAGUUGUGAUCAUUUUCAAUACCUUCUCUUCUGCAAGUUCCGCUUCUUCCGUGAAGAUUGAGCGGCGAUGAACGUGGAGGAUGUUGAGCACAGUUCAUGGAUUGUUUUGUCAUGAUUAAUAAUUGUUGGAUUUGUCGUGUCUUCAUACUCGACAUUUUCCGUGUCUUGAACGCUUCCGCUCAGAGUCCUUUUCUUUAGAAUUGUUUAUUCGUGGAGAGUUUAACUCGUUUGAAAAUUGUUUAUUUUCCAUUCUUUAUUUACUUAGAGUGGGCAUUAUUGUUAGGAUAAUAUUAUGACGUUUUCAAAGUUAAUCCAAUUAUUAAAUUUUUGGUCAAAUGUGUAUGUUUUUCUCCUUUUUCCCCCGCUUCUUUAAUCCUCCCUAGUCGCGAUCAACCAUGUUUUCUAUCCUUAGAAAAUGCGGGCGUGACAUUAAGAUUUGGAAUUCUCCUCCCCAAUCAGACUGAAAGCUCUUGAUUUUUGUUUGAAAAAGAUUUUCUGCCAAAGCCUUGAACAACUUGAACACAUCAGAGACAU